rnacentral:tRNA from 1 species
GCGAGAGUGGCGGAACUGGCAGACGCGUUGGAUUUAGGUUCCAAUUCCGAGAGGAGUGUGGGUUCGAGUCCCAUCUCUCGUACCA